UACAGAGGUGGCGAGCGUUAUUCGGAAUUAUUGGGCGUAAAGGGCGCGUAGGCGGCUUUGUAAGUUAGAGGUGAAAGCCCGGAGCUCAACUCCGGAACUGCCUUUAAGACUGCAUCGCUUGAAUCCAGGAGAGGUGAGUGGAAUUCCGAGUGUAGAGGUGAAAUUCGUAGAUAUUCGGAAGAACACCAGUGGCGAAGGCGGCUCACUGGACUGGUAUUGACGCUGAGGUGCGAAAGCGUGGGGAGCAAACAGG
rnacentral:rRNA from 1 species